GAUGAAGAACGUAGCGAAAUGCGAUACGUAUUGUGAAUUGCAGAAUUCAGUGAAUCAUCGAGUCUUUGAACGCACAUUGCGCCCCCUGGUAUUCCGGGGGGCAUGCCUGUCCGAGCGUCAUUGCUGCCCUCAAGCACGGCUUGUGUGUUGGGCCUCCGCCCCCCGGCUCCCGGGGGGCGGGCCCGAAAGGCAGCGGCGGCACCGCGUCCGGUCCUCGAGCGUAUGGGGCUUCGUCACCCGCUCCGUAGGCCCGGCCGGCGCCCGCCGGCGACCCCCCUCAAUCUUUCCAGGUUGACCUCGGAUCAGGUAGGGAUACCCGCUGAACUUAAGCAUAUCAAUAAGCGGAGGA
rnacentral:misc_RNA from 1 species